UGGCAUAUGUCAGGAAGUCCAGAAAGGGUGU
rnacentral:piRNA from 1 species